AGCGAACGCUGGCGGCAGGCCUAACACAUGCAAGUCGAACGAACCUUUCGGGGUUAGUGGCGGACGGGUGAGUAACACGUGGGAACGUGCCUUUAGGUUCGGAAUAACUCAGGGAAACUUGUGCUAAUACCGAAUGUGCUCUUCGGGGGAAAGAUUAAUCGCCUUUAGAGCGGCCCGCGUCUGAUUAGCUAGUUGGUUGAGGUAAUGGCUCACCAAGGCGACGAUCAGUAGCUGGUCUGAGAGGAUGAUCAGCCACAUUGGGACUGAGACACGGCCCAAACUCCUACGGGAGGCAGCAGUGGGGAAUCUUGCGCAAUGGGCGAAAGCCUGACGCAGCCAUGCCGCGUGAAUGAUGAAGGUCUUAGGAUUGUAAAAUUCUUUCACCGGGGACGAUAAUGACGGUACCCGGAGAAGAAGCCCCGGCUAACUUCGUG
rnacentral:rRNA from 1 species